rnacentral:rRNA from 1 species
AGAGUUUGAUCAUGGCUCAGAUUGAACGCUGGCGGCAUGCUUUACACAUGCAAGUCGAGCGGCAGCGCGGGGGCAACCCUGGCGGCGAGCGGCGAACGGGUGAGUAAUGCAUCGGAACGUGUCCCGUAGUGGGGGAUAACCCGGCGAAAGCCGGACUAAUACCGCAUAUGCUCUACGGAGGAAAGCGGGGGAUUCGCAAGAACCUCGCGCUAUGGGAGCGGCCGAUGUCCGAUUAGCUUGUUGGUGGGGUAAUGGCUUACCAAGGCGACGAUCGGUAGCUGGUCUGAGAGGAUGAUCAGCCACACUGGGACUGAGACACGGCCCAGACUCCUACGGGAGGCAGCAGUGGGGAAUUUUGGACAAUGGGGGCAACCCUGAUCCAGCCAUGCCGCGUGCGGGGAAGAAGGCCUUCGGGUUGUAAACCGCUUUUGUCCGGAAAGAAAAGGCACUCCCUAAUACGGGGUGUUCUUGACGGUACCGGAAGAAUAAGCACCGGCUAACUACGUGCCAGCAGCCGCGGUAAUACGUAGGGUGCGAGCGUUAAUCGGAAUUACUGGGCGUAAAGCGUGCGCAGGCGGUUCGCAAAGUCUGAUGUGAAAGCCCCGGGCUCAACCUGGGAACUGCAUUGGAAACUAACGGGCUCGAGUGUGGCAGAGGGGGGUGGAAUUCCCGUGUAGCAGUGAAAUGCGUAGAGAUGUGGAGGAACACCGAUGGCGAAGGCAGCCCCCUGGGCUAACACUGACGCUCAGGCACGAAAGCGUGGGGAGCAAACAGGAUUAGAUACCCUAGUAGUCC